GUGCUCGCUUUGACAGCACUUAUGCUAAAAUUGGAAUGAUACAGAGAAAAUUAACAUGGCCCCCCAUUCAAGGAUGACACCCAAAUUUGUGAAGCAUUUCAUAUUUUU
ensembl:snRNA U6 U6 spliceosomal RNA